AGUCGAUUCUGAUUCGCUGCGUGAUUUAAAUUGUUCUCCUGACCUACGUAGUUGUUAUAUGUCAAUCUCGGGAAUCCGCUGAUCAGUUCCUCAGAUCUUCUCGUUCAACUCGCCUACAAUUCUGAGAGUUUGUUAGGAUUUCGGUAGAGUUCUGAUCUGUUCUCUAUGAUGUCUGAAGUUCUUCUCUGCUAUUCUGUUUUCUGGAAAGGUUGAAUUAGAGGGAAAGUAGGAGGAGUUCAAAAGGAGUCGCGGUUUCUCGCGGGUCUCGGAUGAUUGGUUAAGGAUGAUGAAAUAAUUGGGGGCGAUUCCAUCCGUUGCGAACCUCGCUUUCCCUGGUUGUCGGGAAGUUAUCGGGCAAGCGUUUGUCAUGAAAGGCGUUCCUCAAGAGUCCGUACCGGUUGUGAUGGCAUCGUUGUCCGAAGGAACCAUUAAGCAAUACCGGAAGGCAUUAAGUCUCUGGUGGGAUUUUUGUCAAAAGAAGAGAGCCAACCCUUUUCAGGCUCCAGUUUCAUCUGUUCUCGAGUUUUUAACCGUCUCUUUAUCCCACGUAAAAACUUAUGGGACGUUAAACUCGUAUAGAUCAGCUUUAGCGUUAAUAGUUAUAGGCGAUAUAGGGCAACAGCCCGCUAUAAAGAGAUUCUUUCGAGGUGUGGCUCAGCUACGCCCGCAAUCAGCAAAUUGUGACGAAAUUUGGGACCCUGAACCAGUUUGAUUUGACGAAGAAAUUAGUCAUGUUAUUAGCGUUAGUGACAGCACAAAGAGUGCAAACGCUGUCAAAAAUUAGCUUAAGCUGUAUCGACAAGACUGACACAGAUAUUAAAGUCAAGAUCAUAGAUCGUAUAAAAACUUCGGGUCUGGGGAGAAAGCAACCCUUAUUGUGUCUGCCAUUUUUUGAAAAACAACCUAAGUUGUGUGUAGCUACGGUCUUAGACUGUUACAUCAAGCGUUCGGCAAGUUUGCGACCGAAUAACGAAGAUUUCUUACUGAUGACAUGUAAAAAACCUCACCGUGUGGCAACAACGCAAUCUAUACGAAGGUGGAUAAAGGAAGUGAUGGCCAAAAGUGGCGUUGAUACAAAUACUUUCGGUUCACACACUACUAGACACGCGGUUACCUCCGCGGCAUAUCGCAGGGGUGUAGACAUCGAAACAAUCCGAAAAGCUGCGGGUUGGACGGAAAAAUUGAAGGUGUUUGCGUGAUUCUAUAAUCGACCUCUGAUAAAAAAUAUAAAGAUAUCCAAAUCCAUAAUUACUUAAGUACAAGAAUGGCUGUAAGACAGAUGUUGUCAAUGUCAACUUAAAGUUUAUAAUUAUUAUUGUACGCACCAAAUUAUCCUUAAAUACAAAUUGCAUAAAACUUUGAACAACUACCAUUGAUCUAGUGGACAAGACGACGUAGCAUAAUUAGACGAUCAAACGAACUUACCUUAAGUGAUGUUUGAUCGUGAUUAUGCUAGGCGUCUUGUCCGAAUAGAUCAAGCCCUCCCUGUUUCUCCCGUCCCUUUUGAUCUAUUCAAGAUGCAAUUUGUCGGCUUUCAAAUGUAAUGGCGUCGGGGCAUAAGGCGCAGGGGCUUCUGGGGAGAGUGGCACCGCCAUCUAGAGGCGUAGGCGCGAAUUUUUGGUUUAAUUUAAAAAUCUGUGACGGAUCGAGCAACUGACGUUACUGCCAUUGAUCUAGAGGACAAGACGCCUAGCAUAAUCACAAUCGAACAUCACUUAAGGUAAGUUCGUUGGAUCGUCUAAUUUUGUGUAAAUAUAGCGGUGUCGAGUUUAAUGCUAAUUAACAAAUUUUUUUUCAAUCUACGAUUUAUUUUUAUCAGUUAUCCGCCUCUUUUUUUUUGUCGAAUCGUUUCCUAAAUUGCGUGCGAUCACGUGUUUAACAUGCAUUACAUACAUGUUGUAUAAUAUGAUUGGAUUAAAUAUUGAAAAAAAUAAAUAAACAAAGACAUCGCUUUAUUUAGAACUGAUAUGGAAUCGAAAGAGGAUUAGUUAACGAAUAUUUACCCCGAAUUUCAUGAUUUUAUCGACGGUAUAAUUGUAAGUAUCAAUCUAAACGCCGGAUGCUUCGGCGCAUCGAAUCUCAUUACAAAAUUUGAUUGAAAAUGAAAACGCAAUGAAAGAAUUCAAACUGUCUGUAUAUAGCAGUUUGAAUUAGUGUUUUGGGGUUAUGAGUUAUGGGUUAUCUAUCGAUGUAUGUAACACUUUUAAUUUUUCCUGGCAUGGUUGAGAGGUUGGGACGGGAUAGAGUGGGUCUCUUCAUCGCAGCGACUCCCACGUGGUGAGACCUGGGUCAUUGAUGGCAAUGUAUGUAUUUAGUAGGUAUGCGCGAUUCUAGAUCGAUCCACUCAAGAAUCGAACUUUUGGGUCGAGAAAAUAGAUCUUUUGUAUCGAUACUUUACUAAUAGAUUUUUUCUGGAAUCG
rnacentral:lncRNA from 1 species